UGGGAAUCUUGCGCAAUGGACGAAAGUCUGACGCAGCGACGCCGCGUGGGCGAUGAAGGCCUUCGGGUCGUAAAGCCCUGUCAGCAGGGAGUAAGAUUGGUGACCUAACACGUCAUCAGUUUGAAAGUACCUGCAGAGGAAGCACCGGCUAACUCUGUGCCAGCAGCCGCGGUAAUACAGAGGGUGCAAGCGUUGUUCGAAAUCAUUGGGCGUAAAGCGCGUGUAGGCGGCGCGGCAAGUCUGAUGUGAA
rnacentral:rRNA from 1 species